ACGGGUGAGUAAUACAUCGGAACGUGCCCAGUAGUGGGGGAUAGCCCGGCGAAAGCCGGAUUAAUACCGCAUACGACCUACGGGUGAAAGCGGGGGAUCGCAAGACCUCGCGCUAUUGGAGCGGCCGAUGUCAGAUUAGCUAGUUGGUGGGGUAAAAGCCUACCAAGGCGACGAUCUGUAGCUGGUCUGAGAGGACGACCAGCCACACUGGGACUGAGACACGGCCCAGACUCCUACGGGAGGCAGCAGUGGGGAAUUUUGGACAAUGGGCGCAAGCCUGAUCCAGCCAUGCCGCGUGCGGGAAGAAGGCCUUCGGGUUGUAAACCGCUUUUGUCAGGGAAGAAACGGCCUGAUCUAAUACAUCGGGCUAAUGACGGUACCUGAAGAAUAAGCACCGGCUAACUACGUGCCAGCAGCCGCGGUAAUACGUAGGGUGCAAGCGUUAAUCGGAAUUACUGGGCGUAAAGCGUGCGCAGGCGGCUUUGCAAGACAGAUGUGAAAUCCCCGGGCUCAACCUGGGAACUGCAUUUGUGACUGCAUGGCUAGAGUGCGGCAGAGGGGGAUGGAAUUCCGCGUGUAGCA
rnacentral:rRNA from 1 species